rnacentral:rRNA from 1 species
AGUGAACGCUGGCGGUAGGCCUAACACAUGCAAGUCGAACGGCAGCACAGUAAGAGCUUGCUCUUACGGGUGGCGAGUGGCGGACGUGUGAGGAAUACAUCGGAAUCUACUUUUUCGUGGGGGAUAACGUAGGGAAACUUACGCUAAUACCGCAUACGACCUACGGGUGAAAGCAUGGGAUCUUCGGACCUUGCGCGAUUGAAUGAGCCGAUGUCGGAUUAGCUAGUUGGCGGGGUAAAGGCCCACCAAGGCGACGAUCCGUAGCUGGUCUGAGAGGAUGAUCAGCCACACUGGAACUGAGACACGGUCCAGACUCCUACGGGAGGCAGCAGUGGGGAAUAUUGGACAAUGGGCGCAAGCCUGAUCCAGCCAUACCGCGUGGGUGAAGAAGGCCUUCGGGUUGUAAAGACCUUUUGUUGGGAAAGAAAAGCAGCAGGUUAAUACCCCGCUGUUCUGACGGUACCCAAAGAAUAAGCACCGGCUAACUUCGUG